rnacentral:lncRNA from 1 species
UGAAAGAGGCGGCAGAAGUAGCUCUUGCCUUGCUUCGAGUCGUGAUGCCUAAAGUGACACCACUUGCGACGAGGACGCUCUUGUUCUUUGCGCCAGUUGCGGGAACAGUUUGAGCCUUCCUUGAUGCCAUUAAUUUUGGAAGUGUGCUCGAAUUUCUUGAACGGAGAAAGAGAUGAGAGGUAGAGAUGAUCCCACCGGGCGUGCCAAUUUGUGAACACGGAAAAUUCCUGAAACGAAAGAGACAAGAACAACGUGCACAAACAAAUAUUUGUAUUUGAUGAUUUUGGGUUACAAUCUCU